AGGAUGAACGCUGGCGGCGUGCCUAACACAUGCAAGUCGAACGUCCUGUCUCGCAAGAGGCAGGGAGUGGCGGACGGGUGAGUACCACGUGGGUCAUCUACCGUGAGGUGAGGAAUACCGGCGAGAAAUCGCCGACAAGACCGCAUAGGCUCGAUGCAAGUCGAGCAAAGCUCUUUCGAGAGAGGGAGCGCCACACGAGGAGCCUGCGCCCGAUUAGCUAGCUGGUGGAGUAACGGUUCACCAGGGCGACGAUCGGUAGCUGGUCUGAGAGGACGAUCAGCCACACUGGGAUUGAGAACGGCCCAGACUCCUACGGGGGGCAGCAGUGAGGAAUUUUCGUCAAUGGGGGCAACCCUGAACGAGCAACGCCGCGUGCAGGAAGAAGGUUUUCGGAUCGUAAAACUGCUUUUCUCGGGGAAGAGGAACGGACGGUACCCGAGGAAAUCAGCCCGGCUAACUACGUAGCCAGCAGCCGC
rnacentral:rRNA from 1 species